GGCUAGGCCAUGCGCAACGAAAACCCGCCAACCCCGCCAGGUCCGGAAGGAAGCAACGGUAACGGGAUCUUUUGUGUGCCGCAUUACGUUUGGUCGGA
rnacentral:SRP_RNA from 1 species